CGAUGGUAGCUUGCUACCAGGCGUCGAGCGGCGGACGGGUGAGUAACGCGUGAGAAUCUGCCCAUUUGUGGGGGAUAACUCGGGGAAACUCGAGCUAAUACCGCAUAAUCCCUACGGGGGAAAGCAGGGGACCUUCGGGCCUUGUGCAGAUGGAUGAGCUCGCGUCGGAUUAGCUUGUUGGUGAGGUAAAGGCUCACCAAGGCGACGAUCCGUAGCUGGUCUGAGAGGAUGAUCAGCCACACCGGGACUGAGACACGGCCCGGACUCCUACGGGAGGCAGCAGUGGGGAAUCUUGGACAAUGGGGGCAACCCUGAUCCAGCCAUGCCGCGUGUGUGAAGAAGGCCUUCGGGUUGUAAAGCACUUUCAGUAGGGAGGAAGGCUUACCGCUAAUAACGGUGAGUACUUGACGUUACCUACAGAAGAAGCACCGGCUAAUUUCGUGCCAGCAGCCGCGGUAAUACGAAAGGUGCGAGCGUUAAUCGGAAUUACUGGGCGUAAAGCGCGCGUAGGCGGUUUGUUAAGUCAGAUGUGAAAGCCCCGGGCUCAACCUGGGAAUUGCAUUUGAAACUGGCAGGCUAGAGUGCAGUAGAGGGAGGUGGAAUUUCCGGUGUAGCGGUGAAAUGCGUAGAGAUCGGAAGGAACACCAGUGGCGAAGGCGGCCUCCUGGACUGACACUGACGCUGAGGUGCGAAAGCGUGGGGGAGCAAACAGGAUUAGAUACCCUGGUAGUCCACGCCGUAAACGAUGUCUACUAGUCGUUGGGAAUCUUAGUAUUCUUGGUGACGAAGUUAACGCGAUAAGUAGACCGCCUGGGGAGUACGGCCGCAAGGUUAAAACUCAAAUGAAUUGACGGGGGCCCGCACAAGCGGUGGAGCAUGUGGUUUAAUUCGAUGCAACGCGAAGAACCUUACCAGGCCUUGACAUCCUUGGAACUUUCU
rnacentral:rRNA from 1 species